rnacentral:rRNA from 1 species
UGAUUAUAAUUUAAGGUCUAAUCUGCUCAAUGAAAAUUAAAUAGCUGCAGUAUUCUAACUGUACAAAGGUAGCAUAAUAAUUAGUUUUUUAAUUGAAAGCUGGAAUGAAUGAUUGGACGAGAAAGUAACUGUCUCUUUACAAUUUUUGGAUUGAAAUUAACUUUUAAGUGAAAAGGCUUAAAUUUUUUUAAAAGACGAGAAGACCCUAUAGAGUUUUAUUUAAUUUAGUUGGGGUGACUGGAAGAUUAAAAUAACUCUUCAAAUUUAAAAUCAUUGAUUUAUGAAUAAGAAAUCUUGAAUUAUAAAUUUAAAUUAAAUUACCUUAGGGAUAACAGCGUAAUUUUUCUUUAAAGUUCUAAUUAAAAGAAUAGUUUGCGACCUCGAUGUUGGAUUAAAAUUUAUUUUUGGUGCAGAAGCUAAAAUAUUAAGUCUGUUC